CUAUUUUGUUGGUUUUCGGAAUCCAAGGUAAUGAUCAAUAAGGACAGGCGGGGGCAUUCGUAUUGCGGCGUUAGAGGUGAAAUUCUUGGAUCGUCGCAAGACGCACUAGAGCGAAAGCAUUUGCCAAGUAUGUCUUAAUUGAUCAAGAACGAAAGUUAGAGGUUCGAAGGCGAUCAGAUACCGCCCUAGUUCUAACCAUAAACGAUGCCAGCCAGCGAUCC
rnacentral:rRNA from 1 species